UACGGGGGGAGCAAGCGUUGUUCGGAUUUACUGGGCGUAAAGGGCGCGUAGGCGGUCAGCACAAGUCAGUUGUGAAAUCUCCGGGCUUAACUCGGAAAGGUCAACUGAUACUGUGCGACUAGAGUGCGGAAGGGGCAACUGGAAUUCUCGGUGUAGCGGUGAAAUGCGUAGAUAUCGAGAGGAACACCGGUGGCGAAGGCGGCUAUCUGGCCCAACAUUGACGCUGAGACCCGAAAGCGUGGGGAUCAAACAGG
rnacentral:rRNA from 1 species